UACGUAGGGUGCGAGCGUUAAUCGGAAUUACUGGGCGUAAAGCGUGCGCAGGCGGUUGUGCAAGACAGAUGUGAAAUCCCCGGGCUCAACCUGGGAAUUGCAUUUGUGACUGCACGGCUAGAGUGUGUCAGAGGGGGUAGAAUUCCACGUGUAGCAGUGAAAUGCGUAGAGAUGUGGAGGAAUACCGAUGGCGAAGGCAGCCCCCUGGGAUAACACUGACGCUCAUGCACGAAAGCGUGGGGAGCAAACAGG
rnacentral:rRNA from 1 species